rnacentral:rRNA from 1 species
AGAGCGGCGUACGGGUGCGGGACACGUGUGCAACCUGCCUUUAUCAAGGGGAUAGCCUUUCGAAAGGAAGAUUAAUACCCUAUAAUAUAUGAUUCGGCAUCGGAUUAUAUUGAAAACUACGGUGGAUAAAGAUGGGCACGCGCAAGAUUAGCUAGUUGGUGAGGUAACGGCUCACCAAGGCGACGAUCUUUAGGGGCCUGAGAGGGUGAUCCCCCACACUGGUACUGAGACACGGACCAG